rnacentral:rRNA from 1 species
CUACGGGGGGCAGCAGUGGGGAAUAUUGCACAAUGGGCGCAAGCCUGAUGCAGCCAUGCCGCGUGUAUGAAGAAGGCCUUCGGGUUGUAAAGUACUUUCAGCGGGGAGGAAGGGAGUAAAGUUAAUACCUUUGCUCAUUGACGUUACCCGCAGAAGAAGCACCGGCUAACUCCGUGCCAGCAGCCGCGGUAAUACGGAGGGUGCAAGCGUUAAUCGGAAUUACUGGGCGUAAAGCGCAGCAGGCGGUUUGUUAAGUCAGAUGUGAAAUCCCCGGGCUCAACCUGGGAACGGCAUCUGAUACUGGCAAGCUUGAGUGUCGUAGAGGGGGGUAGAAUUCCAGGUGUAGCGGUGAAAUGCGUAGAGAUCUGGAGGAAUACCGGUGGCGAAGGCGGCCCCCUGGACGAAGACUGACGCUCAGGUGCGAAAGCGUGGGGAGCAAACAGGAUUAGAUACCCUAGUAGUC